UUAAAAUUAAAUUAUUAAUAGAUGAAAAAUAUAAGUACACCGAGUCUAGUCCGGGCCUAAAAACUAGUUUAUAUAUUAAUGGUCCUAUAUUUGUAGAAAGGAAAUGUUUUCAUAAUUCUAUAGUGCAACUAACUAUCCCUUAACCAAUGAAAUUGUAUUACAAUCCCUUAAACAUUAUAAUUCGAAAAAAAAAAAACCCUUUUUUAUAAAUUUGUGAGAAGGUUGUAUUACCACGUGGCCUAAUCGUUGCAUAAAAACAGUAUCGUAGCUUUUUAAGAGUUUUUAGCUACUAGCUAGUAAGUAUCAAUUAUCAACCAUGCUCUAUAUACAUGCAAAACUUAUCCAAGUUAUCUCGAUCUAUAACUAUAAGCCCAAUCCCACACAUACCCUAUAACCCAGAACUAUGCCAAAAAAUUAUGGCCGUUUCAGCCCAAAUCUUACCGUUAAAAUUUAUCAUAAACCCUAGAAAUCCCAACCACGCUUACAUAAACCCACCUUCGCCUCAUCUCCUUCUUCAUUUCUCUGCAAAAUCAUACGUUCUUCUGCUUUCUUUUCUAGCAAAUGGGUGGUUGACAUUCAAAUGAGGUGCUAUAAAUGCUUGCAUUUUAGGUGAGGAAACAUAUUAAAAAGUAAUUGAUUUCUUAUGUAUUGAAUGUGCUCAAAUAAGCCGUGUUAUUGGUUCAUUUAUGUGUGUUUUCAUUUUGUUUUUAUGAUGUGGUUUGUUAGUUUUAGUUGCUGGCAAGAAUGAUGAUACAAUAUAAUUUGUGAAGAAUGUGAAUUCUUAUGAACUCUAAAUUAAUUUGCUUAUUGAUAUUCUGACUUGCCAGCAUAUCUUGAAAUCAUGUGCUUUAAAUGAUAGAAGGGAUUAUGAUUUAAACUAGUUCCUUAUAAGUAGUCCUUAGGUGCGAAUGUUAGAGUUAGCUCUUGUUGUUAAUCGAAUGCACUUACUUUGGUUAUGGUUAGUUGGGGCUCUAUGUAUUAGGAUAUCUUUGGCUUUUCUAUCAUUCAAUGUGUUCUUCGUCAAGAAUUUAAGAUUAACUAGUUUCUUGUAAGGAGUCCUUAGGUUAGGUCUGACUCGGGUACCCAUGUACGACACGGGUAUUUGUCCAAGUGUCUGGCUAUUUUUUGAAUUUUUUUCUAUUUUUUAGCCUAAAACAAAGUGUCCAAGUGUCUCACUCAUGUCCGAGUGUUGAGGAUCCAACAUGGGUACUUGAGGUGAAAUGAACAGUUCGAGCAACAUAGGUCUAUUUGGGCUAGCUCUUAUCGAUCAACGAAUGCUGGUGCUCGGGUUAUGGUCAAUUGGGGCUAUGUAGUAGGAUAACUUGCUUUUCUAUCAUUCAAUGUGUUCUUCUUCAUUAAGUAUUUAAGAUCCUCGCAACUCUUUUCCUUGCUGCCUCUUUUCGUUUUGCGACUGUUGUCCUUCUUUUUGAACAUUGUAUUUUAAUUAGAAUUAUAUGAGGUCAAGUGAUGAUUUGGAUUAAUAUUCUCACGACGGUCGUCUGAGGCACUAAAUCAGUGUCCUUUUGAUGUUAAUAAUCCAUCUUUCUGAUGAUCUCUGUUUUUAUAUGAUAUCAAAGUUGUUUUAUUUGAUUGCGAAAUUUUAUACAUAUAUUGUUUGUUUGAGGAAUUGAGCGUAAUGAUGAUGAUGUUGUAUAGAACCGACAAAUUCAUGAAAGGAAUACAAACCUCCUACUCAUACUGAAUGCUCUAUAAACUCUGAUAAGUUGGUUUAUUUCUUUAUUUAUUUUGUUUUCUUCUAAUUCUUUGGUGUUAAUAAUCCAUCAUUCUGAUGAUCUCUAUGUGAUAUCAAAGUUAUCUUAUUUGAUUGAAAAAUUUGAACAUUUUUUGUUUGUUUGUUUGAGAAAUUGAGCGUAAUGAUGAUGAUCUUGUAUAGAACCGACAAGUUCAUGAAUGGAAUACAACCUCCUACUCAUACUGAAUGCUCUCUAAAACUCUUUAUAUGUGGUAAUCUUACAUUGGUUUAUUUCUUUACUUUAUUCUGUAUUCUUCUAAUUCUUUGAUUUAACUACUUGAAACUUGAAUGUUUCUGUGUCCACAUGCAAUGGAGAGCACAUUGUGGUUAACUGGUUACUGCCUUAAUAUUCUUAUUUAGGUAACAAGUUAAUAUUGUGGCGAUGGCUGGUGUACUUGGUAAUGAUUUGACGCGAGUGAUUAGGAUGAUAUGGGGGUUUGGUGUUUGACAAACUGCGACUUGGGUUUUUAGGGAAGAAAGGUUGAUCCUUUCUUCUUAAGAGAAUUCAUGUGAUGUAUAAGAGAGUAAAAUGAAAGAACCCAUGUUUCUCUACUAUGUUGAUUUUCAAUGUCAUUGGAUCAAAUGGUCUUAGGCUUGUUUGAAUUUGUGUGGUUAGUUUAGGAUUUAGAUGGGUGAAGGGGAUGGCAAAAAUGAUGAUUCAAUUACAUGUGUGAAGGAUACCAUUCCUGUUGAACACAUUCUAAAGCUUAUUGAUAUCCUGAUUUGCCAAGUUAUCCGGUAUCAAACCCACGCCUUAUUGUGGACUACAAAUGGUGAUUUUGGAAGACUAUCUAGAAUUAGUUGCUUUGCUUAGCUCCAAUAUUAGACAAAUGGGUGCUUCGUCAUGUUGGCCUCCAACAUCAUCGGAUCACAAGUUCACAUACGUUUUGUUUGGCUUACUGCAUUGCUCCAUUGAUGAGGACUGAAACUUUCCUGGUGUUUCUGAGUAUGGAGGGAAUAGUUUGAAAGACCGGUUACUGCAUUGCUCCAUUGAUGAGGACUGAAGCUUCCCCGGUGUUUGUACUGUUUUUGACAGAAGACUUUCACUUUUUGGGCAUGGAGGGAGUAGUUUGAAAGACCGAUUGACAGAGUACAAUCUUCCUAUGUACUUUCUGGCCGUUUAACUGUUGGAGAAUGUUUGGACAGUGGUUUUUCUAUUUUACCUUCUAAAUGAAGGAGUCUCAAAUGGUACUCCCUAUUGUAUCGUCUUUUCUCUUAUUUUAGUGAAAUUGUUUUACGUCCAACCAAAUAGAGUUUAUAGGAGGUGAAGUCGCUUUUCGUAGAUCACAGAUUUGAAUGGUCUUUUUUGGUGGGGGUGAAGGCUUGAACCAUUGUAGUGAUUGAAAGCUCGGGUGAAGAAAGCAAUAUCAGUCCACACUCUGCACUUUCUUUCGCAACAAAAAGAGUACAAAAGAGGGAUUCUACAUCCGAAAGUAAAUUAAGCAAUUGGCUUUACGUGUUAUGGUUGUAGUAACCUUGACGUGGGAGAUUCUGCCUUUUCCUUGGGAUGUAGUAGUAUGAUACAUGAAGUAUGAAAGGUGAAUUUUUUUUAUUAUUAUUAUUUUGAUAUGCAAUGGUACGUGAUUGUACCUUAGAUUUUCAGUUCUUCAAUAAAUCUUUAAUUAAUAAUGUGUUUAA